AGCGAACGCUGGCGGCAGGCUUAACACAUGCAAGUCGAGCGGGCAUCUUCGGAUGUCAGCGGCAGACGGGUGAGUAACACGUGGGAACGUGCCCUUCGGUUCGGAACAACUCUGGGAAACUGGAGCUAAUACCGGAUACGCCCUUAUGGGGAAAGGUUUACUGCCGAAGGAUCGGCCCGCGUCUGAUUAGCUAGUUGGUGGGGUAACGGCCUACCAAGGCGACGAUCAGUAGCUGGUCUGAGAGGAUGAUCAGCCACACUGGGACUGAGACACGGCCCAGACUCCUACGGGAGGCAGCAGUGGGGAAUAUUGGACAAUGGGCGCAAGCCUGAUCCAGCCAUGCCGCGUGAGUGAUGAAGGCCUUAGGGUUGUAAAGCUCUUUUGUCCGGGACGAUAAUGACGGUACCGGAAGAAUAAGCCCCGGCUAACUUCGUG
rnacentral:rRNA from 1 species